UAGUUUGGUCGACGAAGACUCUUAUAAACCGGCGAUUUGGGGCUCACUUUGCUAGAACCUUCCAAACCAAAUUCCCCAAUUCUCAAAAUUAGGUCCCCCCCAGUCGGCCAUAAAAAUAGUUCGUCUCAACAUCUCCAUUAUCUCUGGCCCUCUCUAUCUCAUUUUCAUUUUCUAGUCGGACUAUUAUUAGGUCUCCGGAAUCACCCUAAUAAUCGGGCCUUUUCCUCUAUGGCGGAGCACUUGGCUUCGAUCUUCGGCACCGAGAAGGACAGGGUGAACUGCCCCUUCUACUUCAAGAUCGGCGCAUGUCGUCACGGCGAUCGUUGCUCUCGCCUCCACAAUCGCCCCACGAUCUCGCCGACCCUUCUCCUCUCCAACAUGUACCAGCGCCCGGACAUGAUCACACCCGGCGUGGACGCCCAGGGCCAGCCCAUUGAACCUCGUAAGAUCCAGGAGCACUUCGAGGACUUCUACGAGGAUAUCUUCGAGGAGCUCGGCAAAUUCGGGGAGAUCGAGAGCCUCAACGUCUGCGAUAACCUCGCCGACCACAUGAUCGGCAACGUCUACGUUCAGUUCAAGGAGGAAGACCAGGCUGCCGCAGCAUUGCACGCCUUGCAGGGACGCUUCUACUCGGGCCGCCCCAUUAUCGCGGAUUUCUCACCAGUCACAGAUUUCCGCGAGGCCACGUGUCGGCAAUUCGAGGAGAACAAUUGCAACCGAGGCGGGUACUGCAAUUUCAUGCAUGUUAAGCUGAUUGGAAGGGAGCUGAGGAGGAAGCUCUUCGGGAGGUACCGUGGGUUUAGGAUUAGCCGGAGCCGGAGUCGGAGUUUGAGCCCGCGUCAUAAACGAGAGUAUAGGGAUUAUAGAGACCGGGACCGUGAUUAUCGAGCGAAUGGGAAGCGAUCGAGCAGGGACAGGUAUGACAGGGAUGGUGGUGGUGGUGGUGGUGGAGGACGGAGAAGGCAUGGUAGCCCGAGGCGGAGCAGGAGCAGAACCCCCGUGCCCGGGAGGGAAGGGAGCGAGGAACGGCGAGCUAGGAUUGAACAGUGGAAUCGGGAAAGGGAGGAUAGGCCGUGAUAUCUGGAGUGUUUUCCUUUGCAUUCGAUAUGGAUCAGAUUUGUAGCCCUGAAAAUUGGGCUUGCUGAGCUCAAAGUUGGUCAGAAACGGGUGCUGGUUUAGUUUUCUACUCUCAAACUUGUCCUUUUUUCUCUCUAAUGAUUUUCCAUUAAUGCUUUUAGGGCCAGAUCUGGCUGCCCUGAAAACUGGGGUUGCAGAACGCAAAGUUGGUCAGAAAACGGGUUCCUGGUUUUAUUUUCUGGUCAGAGACUUCUAUUUUUUUUCUCCUACCUCUCUAAUAAUUUUUCCAAUUAUGCUUUUAGGGCCAGAUCCGGCAGCCCGGAAAACUGGGGUUGUCGACCUCAAAGUCGGUCAGAAAACAGGGCAAGUUGUCUGGUUAGUGUAUCAUAUCUUAGUUUUUUUCUCCUGACAAAAAGUGUUUAUCGGGAUCAUAAUUGUUCUUCUGCCUCUAGGUAAAGGAAAAAACAGGUUAUGUUUUCCUUUUUGUUGACUCACGGUUAUUGACUUCAUGACAGUAUGGGUCUCUAAAACUAGCUGAGGUGUACCUCUCUAUGUUUUUGUGGUGUUAUAGGAAAAUAGUUGAUCCCUUCUGUUAGAAACAUAAAAACAUUUUUUAUCCUCAUUAUUGAGAAUCCAAAAUUCACCUCCUCCAUCAUUUGUCCCAGUGCUUGAUAUAGGGUUUUACUAGGGGUGGCAAUAUGUGACAUGACCAGUGAAUCCAACAUGAACACGACACAAAAUUAGCGAGUUUGACUUUGAUGUUAAUGGGUAAUCAAGUCAAAUGGGUUAUGCGUGUUAUUUCAACUCAUUUACAUAAAACAAGCUUAAAUGAAUCGUGUUGUGUUGAUCUAUUUUUUAUUAAUUAUUAAACGGGUCAAAACGGGUGACAUGACAAGACCCAUUAUCUAAAUGAGUUGGAUUAGGGUUUGAAAGUUUGACACGUUUAGCUUAAUGGGUUGGGUUAGGGUUAACCUAUAAGUCGAAUAUUCAUGACUUGGCACGAUACAAACACGAGCCGAAAACACGAAUUGUACCUCUAGGUUUUGCCCAUGAUCAUACAGCCAAGGCCCAAGACAGUUGGUUUUGAGAGGGCCAAUGUAUUUACUUCUUGAAGUGUUCAUUCAUUGGGGUUGAGAAGAUGUUGAGGAUUAAAAGGCCAUGACUUCAGAAACUCUUGUUAGAUGGUGUGCGGCUAACUACUUACAUGGCUGCUGCAACUGCAAAAUUUUCCCAGGAGGCUAGUAUAUCAUAUUUUGCAUGUUUUUGUGUUGUGGUUAGAUGCAUGAAUGAACCCAUCUAAUGAGGGGACUUCAACUUAUCUACGUAGUUUAUUUUUUAUUUUUUCUUUAAGUUUUAACUUGAGUUUUUUUUUUAAUUCUCUAUAGUUUAUUUAUUUUAAAAAG